AGGCAUGGCCAAGUGGUAAGGCAACGGGUUUUGGUCGCUCUAUUCGGAGGUUCGAAUCCUUCCAUCCCUU
rnacentral:tRNA from 1 species